GGCCGGUUAGCUCAGUUGGUUAGAGCGUGGUGCUAAUAUCGCUUCAAUGGUCGGAACGCCAAGGUCAAGGGUUCGACCCCCUUACGGGCCA